UCCCAUUCAACUUUUUAACAUAUGCAUUGAUCAUAUUCUCACAUGGGUACGAGAAGAUGGAAGAUGUUGGACGGAUCUGCGUCAUCUUCUCUGUCUGUUUUUGCUGCUCCUCUUAGCAUCUUGGUGUGCAUGCAUUUGUACUAAUAACACUCACCAAACUAAUUAAGUAUGCUAACUAGAAAUUUUUAUAUGCUUACCAUAUUUCUUUCAUUCAAAGGCUUGUUAUUAAAACAAGAAGUGUAGAAUACAUGCCGCUCUCUCUGUCACUCUCCUUGACUCUCUAUUCUAUUUGCUGGUUAUGGCCUUGCUGUGGACAACUACUUUAUUG
rnacentral:misc_RNA from 1 species